UGCAUAUCAAUAAGCGGAGGAAAAGAAACCAACAGGGAUUGCCUCAGUAACGGCGAGUGAAGCGGCAAAAGCUCAAAUUUGAAACCCUCGGGAUUGUAAUUUGAAGAUUUGGCAUUGGAGAAAGCUAACCCAAGUUGCUUGGAAUAGUACGUCAUAGAGGGUGACAACCCCGUCUGGCUAACCGUUCUCCAUGUAUUGCCUUAUCAAAGAGUCGAGUUGUUUGGGAAUGCAGCUCAAAGUGGGUGGUAAACUCCAUCUAAAGCUAAAUACUGGUGAGAGACCGAUAGCGAACAAGUACUGUGAAGGAAAGGUGAAAAGAACUUUGAAAAGAGAGUGAAAUAGUAUGUGAAAUUGUUGAUAGGGAAGGAAAUGAGUGGAGAGUGGCCGAGGUUUCAGCCGCCCCUCGUGGGCGGUGUACUGCCGACGCCGAGUCAUCGAUAGCGAGACGAGGGUUACAAAUGGGAGCGCCUUUCGGGCGUUCUCCCCUAACCCUCCACACUGCCACCGACGACAUAAUCCACCCAUUUCACCCGUCUUGAAACACGGACC
rnacentral:rRNA from 1 species